CUGCAGAUGACACACGCGAUCUUCACCACCCAACCAAAACCACAACGUGAAUUUGCAAUAGGGGAGGAAAAAAGAACCAAAACUUCCAAGGCCCUGCUUUUUUUUCUUAAAAGUACUUUAAAAAAGGAAAAUUUGUAUUUUUUAUUUACAUUUUAUAUUUUUGUAUAUAUUGUUAGGGGUCAGCCUUUUUUAAUGAUCUCGGUUGACCAAACCAGCCUUUG
rnacentral:lncRNA from 1 species